rnacentral:rRNA from 1 species
AUUGAACGCUGGCGGCAGGCCUAACACAUGCAAGUCGAGCGAGCGGCGGACGGGUGAGUAAUGUCUGGGAAACUGCCUGAUGGAGGGGGAUAACUACUGGAAACGGUAGCUAAUACCGCAUACCAUCAGAUGUGCCCAGAGGGGAUUAGCUAGGAGUGGGGGUAACGGCGCACCUCGGCGACGAUCCCGAGCUGGUCUGAGAGGAUGACCAGCCCAACGGGAACUGAGACACGGUCCAGACUCCUACGGGAGGCAGCAGUGGUGAAGAUUGCACAAUGGGCGCAAGCCUGAUGCAGCCAUGCCGCGUGUGUGAAGAAGGCCUUCGGGUUGUAAAGCACUUUCAGCGGGGAGGCGUUACCCGCAGAAGAAGCACCGGCUAACUCCGUGCCAGCAGCCGCGGUAAUUC